rnacentral:rRNA from 1 species
GGGUUGUGAGGUUAAGCGACUAAGCGUACACGGUGGAUGCCCUGGCAGUCAGAGGCGAUGAAGGGCGUGCUAAUCUGCGAUAAGCGCCGGUAAGGUGAUAUGAACCGUUAUAACCGGCGAUACCCGAAUGGGGAAACCCAGUGUGAUUCGUCACACUAUCAUUACGUGAAUACAUAGCGUAAUGAAGCGAACCGGGGGAACUGAAACAUCUAAGUACCCCGAGGAAAAGAAAUCAACCGAGAUUCCCCCAGUAGCGGCGAGCGAACGGGGAGGAGCCCAGAGCCUGAAUCAGCAUGUGUGUUAGUGGAAGCGUCUGGAAAGGCGCGCGAUACAGGGUGACAGCCCCGUACACAAAAGCGCAUGUGCUGUGAGCUCGAUGAGUAGGGCGGGACACGUGGUAUCCUGUCUGAAUAUGGGGGGACCAUCCUCCAAGGCUAAAUACUCCUGACUGACCGAUAGUGAACCAGUACCGUGAGGGAAAGGCGAAAAGAACCCCGGCGAGGGGAGUGAAAAAGAACCUGAAACCGUGUACGUACAAGCAGUGGGAGC